GUUUGUAGCCAGCACUUCCAGCCAGAGGAUUUCGAAACUGAUGGGGUUGCCAGGUGGUCGAACGUUAAAGUGAUGCUUUUCCAUUGAUUUUCCCCUUCACUUCAAAGAGGAAGGCAUGCGAUCAGCCAACAUCAGUGCAGCAGAAAAGAAGUCAAGCUGAGAGCCCGAUCCCAUCUGCAGCAGCAUCAACAUCAAGCUCAGCACCAGGAACUAUUGCUAACCCUGCUACUGAUGACGAUGAACUUAACACCAGCUUUAGUAGUACAGAGCCCGCAGACCCAUUGGAUGAAAGCUUUCAGCCGGGAACAAGCUCAACAUCAUCUGACUCGUAAACAAGCCAGGACGGCCAAAGGCAUUUAUGAAAGCACAAAUACCCUCUUGAGAAAACAACAAAAUCACCAAUACACUAAACUGUCUACAAGCCAAGUGCUCCUCAAACUUGUCACACCCUUGUAGUCAGUUCUUUGAGAGGGGUUGUUAGUUUACUCUUCUAGCCUAUUCACUCCAUUGUUGGCAGUGCUUGUCUACUCAACAGCACAACUGUAGGUGCUCAUACACAACAAUACACAACUAGACUGUCUAUAUGUCAAGCCCCCCUCAAACUUUUCACAUCUGUUAGCAGCCCAUCUCAAAGCCCCAUUAUUUAAAUGUAACAAAACACAUACCUGUUUACUGUUCCAUGUUUUGUUUACAGAUUAACAUGGUUUAUUUUAUGAUUAUACAUCCUCAUGAUCAGUCGUCAUGUCUUUCCAGGAUACUUACAGUACAAACAAUUAUUCUGCAAGAGGUCAAAGAAGUGGGUGGUGAAGAAAGUGCACAAGCCCAGAACCCACCACUUCAGGGAGACGCUUAUCCACCUGGUUGUGGAGUGCAGAAAAUAACAGACUGUUGUCAACAAGCAGCCAGACUCACAGCUCCCCCUGCCAACAUUGCCACAGCGCCAAAGCCUGCUAAACCAGCUGACAUUACCCAACAGUAGAAGAGGUGCACCAGCUGAAGAACAUUCUGGAACCUGCCUGGAACAUUCAACCAACACCCAUAUUCAGUUAGACUGAUGUUUUAGUAUAAUAUAGAAUACCUAGUAUGUUCACAACUGCAUUGUGGUAUAGAUAUUGCUGCCUCUCAAAAGUUUGUACACACCUACUCAUUUUCUACAUUGUAGAAUAAUU